CCAGCUCUAAUGCACAGGACACAUCUGGAUCCAGUCUGCCACCUUGGAACCUUCAUGCUGCAGAGGUCCGUGUUCCAGUAAACAUCAAAAGGCAUCAAAGGGGGAGAGAGAGAGAGAGAGAGAGAGACCAAGAGAGAGAGAGAGAGAGUCGAGAGCUAUUUGCUCAGGAGUUUGCCUCACGGUUUCCCAUCGCAAUGCGGACUCUCCUGGGAUUGAUCCUUUUCUCUGUGCUUCUGGCUACAGGCGCUUCUUUGAAGUGUGACACUUGCAAGGCGAUCGGGGACAGCUGUACCGGCACUACCGAGUGGUGUGGUUACGGCGAACAUGCCUGCGUCACUGUCUGGCUGCAAAUCAAGUCGGGAAACAUUCCAUGUUGACUCUCUAAUAAGAGAACCCCAAGGUCUUCUUCACAAUGUAUUAGCUGGAUUCUUGAAGCCAAACAAAGUCUCCACUGCUAAUUACUACCAGCCACGGUCUGCCUAUGCAAACAGCAUUUAAAGUGCUAGUGUAUCCAGAAGGGAUACUUGUUGACACCAUCAUAAAGAGUUGCAUUGCAAAGUACGUCUGCGCCGACUUAAAAUCUGGAUUACAGAAAGUCAUUCAGCAAAUUGAAGGAGUUGAUGCUGUUAUCAAAAAAGCGGAGUGUAGCAAAGCCUUGGUGGAGGCCUACUCGGUGGCCUACUCGGUGGCCUCCUCGGGAUCCCUCCUCUUGGCGCUCUCUGGCCUCCUGCUCCUGAAAUUACUUUCGUAGUGCCCCCCUGGCAGUGAGGCAUCCCCCCCCCCAGGGAAAUCCUUCCUUUCCCCCUUCCGUGCAACCUCCUCUCCCUCCUGCUAUUGGACUCUGAAGAGGGACUUGCCACCUCCUU